GGACCCGCACAAGCGGUGGAUUAUGUGGAUUAAUUCGAUGCAACGCGAAAAACCUUACCUACCCUUGACAUGUGCGGAACGGGACAGAGAUGUCUCGGUGCCCGAAAGGGAACCGCAACACAGGUGCUGCAUGGCUGUCGUCAGCUCGUGUCGUGAGAUGUUGGGUUAAGUCCCGCAACGAGCGCAACCCUUGCCAUUAGUUGCUACAUUCAGUUGGGCACUCUAAUGGGACUGCCGGUGACAAACCGGAGGAAGGUGGGGAUGACGUCAAGUCCUCAUGGCCCUUAUGGGUAGGGCUUCACACGUAAUACAAUGGCCGGUACAGAGGGCUGCCAACCCGCGAGGGGGAGCAAAUCCCAGAAAGCCGGUCGUAGUCCGGAUUGUUCUCUGCAACUCGAGAGCAUGAAGUCGGAAUCGCUAGUAAUCGCGGAUCAGCAUGUCGCGGUGAAUACGUUCCCGGGUCUU
rnacentral:rRNA from 1 species